rnacentral:rRNA from 1 species
UGGGGAAUAUUGGGCAAUGGGCGCAAGCCUGACCCAGCCACGCCGCGUGAGUGAUGAAGGCCUUCGGGUCGUAAAGCUCUGUGGGGAAGGACGAAAAAACAUUGGCUAAUAUCCAAUGGCUUGACGGUACUUCCUUAGCAAGCACCGGCUAACUCUGUGCCAGCAGCCGCGGUAAUACAGAGGGUGCAAAUGUUGCUCGGAAUCAUUGGGCGUAAAGCGCACGUAGGCGGCCUGAUAAGUCGGUAGUGAAAGCCCUCGGCUUAACCGAGGAAGUGCUAUCGAAACUGCCAGGCUUGAGUACCGGAGAGGAUCGCGGAAUUCCCGGUGUAGAGGUGAAAUUCGUAGAUAUCGGGAGGAACACCAGUGGCGAAGGCGGCGAUCUGGACGGAUACUGACGCUGAGGUGCGAAAGCGUGGGGAGCAAACAGGAUUAGAUACCCCCGUAGUCCCUGAGCGGGCUGGCAAGGCGCAU